CUUUCUCGUUCCUUCUUCAUUCAAAGACCCGUAAGCCCUAACUCCUCCUUCAAACAUUAAGCCCAAACUCGUUCAGCAGUGAUAACCCUAACCCUCUCUUCAUUAUGCCUUACCCUCACCGCGACGAUGACACUCAAAUGAAGUACCUCUCCGAUGACACUCCGUGAAGAACAUCACUGCGCUCGCAAUGCCUCCGCCAGCAAUCCCUCUUUCGGCACCCCUAACCUUCCUUCUACGGUAACUCUCUCUGGUGGUGACUCCCUGCACUCACUUGCCGUCGUAAACCCGCCGUCGUUUCUCCCUUUGCCGCCGCUUCCUUCCGUCGCUUCAAACCCCUAACCCCUUCCGCGCCGCUCCCUUCCUGCUUAGCUUUGGAAGAAACUAGACUCUACAGGCAUUCAUCGAUUUUAGCUUCUUGCUUCUUUGAACUGCAGGAUAGUUAGAGAGUACAUGCGUGGACUUAUUGCACUUUUGGUACCUUCUAAAUACAGAUUCAACCAAAUGUACCCCUUGAUGAAGAAUGCAUCACAGGGUAGGUACAAUGUCUUUUGGAAACCCUGUUAUGUUUAUUGGAUUUGAUGAAAUAGAAUUUUGUAUUUGAUUGAAGCAAGUCAGGCCCCUUCCAUCGAUGUUUCA